rnacentral:rRNA from 1 species
GCUUAGAGUUUGAUCCUGGCUCAGAACGAACGCUGGCGGCAGGCCUAACACAUGCAAGUCGAGCGCGCCUUCGGGUGAGCGGCGGACGGGUGAGUAACGCGUGGGAAUAUGCCCUUCUCUGCGGAAUAGCCACUGGAAACGGUGAGUAAUACCGCAUACGCCCUUUGGGGGAAAGAUUUAUCGGAGAAGGAUUAGCCCGCGUUGGAUUAGGUAGUUGGUGGGGUAAUGGCCUACCAAGCCUACGAUCCAUAGCUGGUUUUAGAGGAUGAUCAGCCACACUGGGACUGAGACACGGCCCAGACUCCUACGGGAGGCAGCAGUGGGGAAUCUUAGACAAUGGGGGCAACCCUGAUCUAGCCAUGCCGCGUGAGUGAUGAAGGCCUUAGGGUCGUAAAGCUCUUUCGCCUGUGAAGAUAAUGACGGUAGCAGGUAAAGAAACCCCGGCUAACUCCGUGCCAGCAGCCGCGGUAAUACGGAGGGGGUUAGCGUUGUUCGGAAUUACUGGGCGUAAAGCGCGCGUAGGCGGAUCGGAAAGUUGGGGGUGAAAUCCCGGGGCUCAACCCCGGAACUGCCUCCAAAACUAUCGGUCUUGAGUUCGAGAGAGGUGAGUGGAACUCCGAGUGUAGAGGUGAAAUUCGUAGAUAUUCGGAAGAACACCAGUGGCGAAGGCGGCUCACUGGCUCGAUACUGACGCUGAGGUGCGAAAGUGUGGCGAGCAAACAGGAUUAGAUACCCUGGUAGUCCACACCGUAAACGAUGAAUGCCAGACGUCAGCAGGCAUGCCCUGUGGUGUCACACCUAACGGAUUAAGCA